UACGUAGGGUGCAAGCGUUAUCCGGAAUUAUUGGGCGUAAAGAGCUCGUAGGCGGUUUGUCGCGUCUGCUGUGAAAACUGGAGGCUCAACCUCCAGCCUGCAGUGGGUACGGGCAGACUAGAGUGCGGUAGGGGGAGAUUGGAAUUCCUGGUGUAGCGGUGGAAUGCGCAGAUAUCAGGAGGAACACCGAUGGCGAAGGCAGAUCUCUGGGCCGUAACUGACGCUGAGGAGCGAAAAGCGUGGGGAGCAAACAGG
rnacentral:rRNA from 1 species